rnacentral:rRNA from 1 species
UAAUACAGAGACCUCAAGCGUUAUCCGGAAUCAUUGGGCGUAAAGCGUACCGAUAGGUGGUCUAAAAAGUCAGAAGUGAAAUCUCAAGGCUCAACUUUGAGACUGUCUUUUGAAACUUUUAGACUAGAGGGGCAAAGAGGAAGCUGGAACGAACGGUGUAGUAGUGAAAUGCGUUGAUAUCGUUCGGAACACCAAUAGCGAAGGCGGGCUUCUGGGUGCCACCUGACACUGCUAGGACGAAAGCGUGGGGAGCGAAUGGGAUUAGAUACCCCAGUAGUCCACGCUGUAAACGAUGUACAUUAGGUGCUAGGGAGUAUCGACCCUCUUUAGUACCAUAGCUAACGCGUUAAAUGUACCGCCUGGGGAGUACGGCCGCAAGGCUA